rnacentral:rRNA from 1 species
UACGAAGGGGGCUAGCGUUGCUCGGAAUCACUGGGCGUAAAGGGUGCGUAGGCGGGUCUUUAAGUCAGGGGUGAAAUCCUGGAGCUCAACUCCAGAACUGCCUUUGAUACUGAAGAUCUUGAGUUCGGGAGAGGUGAGUGGAACUGCGAGUGUAGAGGUGAAAUUCGUAGAUAUUCGCAAGAACACCAGUGGCGAAGGCGGGUUGCUGGGCUGAUACUGACGCUGAGGCGCGAAAGCUAGGGGAGCGAACGGG